rnacentral:lncRNA from 1 species
AAGGUCGAGAUCAUCAAAAAUCUGAUCUUUGGAUCGAUAGAGCCCCGAAGAGCACAGAGAUAAAAUCUCUUGAUAGAGCCCCGAAGGGCAAAGAGAUAAAAUCUCUUGAUCAAAGAUCAAUCUUCGAAUCGAUAGAGCCUCGAAGGGCAUAGAGAUAAGAUCUCCUCAUCAAAGUUCAGAGCUUCGAAGGGCACAGAGAUAAGAUCUCCUCAUCAAAGUUCAAUCUCUGGAUUGGUAGAGCCUCGAAGGGCAC